CCAAUUUAGGAUGGUGAUUGGCGCUUAGGAGCAAGUGCUCUCAAGUAAGCUUCAUCGAUAAUUUUACAGAAAAUCGAGCAAAAUUUCCCCUAUUUUUGGACCAUCCCAAAAAUUUCUUGUCUCAAAUCAGCAACCAAACAGCCUAAUAGUAAUUCAACUGGCAAUUGACAAUUUACCAUUUAGAAAAAAUAAGUCUCCACCAUUACUAAUCAACACACUAACAACCAGAAAUACUAAUCUACCUCCAACUUUCAUAAUAAAUGACGAUACUCAACAUAAGACUAUAAUAAUAAAAGAAUACUCACGACACUAAAAUAAUGACUAUGGAGCGACUUUAAUAAUUUAAAGAAAGACCACAACAAUUGAUAAAAACAUCCGCCCACGCGAACAAGUGCGAGGCUCAUCAAGAGUUCUCAACCUUUUACCUCUAAUUAACAAAAUCCUCGCCUGCGUCAACUGUCACUGUAAAAGAAAAUUAGCGGGAAAUAAAUCGCUAGCUCAAUGAGUAAUAACACUAAACCACAUUCAUUUUUAAUUUGGGGACAUAUCAGAAAUCAUGCUUGUAUAAUAAUUACAAAAUAAAAUGCUCUUUUUAAAAAAAAAGUAAUAAUAAUCAGUCUCAUCAUGUGUUUCCUGCAACAAAGUCAAUUUAACAAUUCAAUAAUAAACUCAGUAAGUAUUGUGUCAUCUCAAAUCUUUAUAUUUGGGAGGUUACCAGGAAAGGAUCAUGUAAUCUGUAUCACUCUGUGGACCCCUUCUUAAGAGGAGUCAAUAUAACUAUAGGUCCCUACUCGAGGGAACACUGUAAUUGUAUGCUAGUUCUACCUUCCCGCUAGCGAGUGCUCUAACUAUACUCGGUAAUCUGUAAAUAAAAGAUGCACUAGGUCUAACGAACCCGCCUUUAGCUACAGGAUCCUUCAAAGUCUCCUCCUAUUUAUACUCUUUCUUGUAAAUAGUAAAUACUCGUACAAAAGCAUUUUCAAAAUAAUAAAGGACAUCAUUCCUUAUCAAAUCUUGUAAUUUUAUUUCGGUAAUAGUAAUCAUGCCUAAGUAAUAGUAAAACAUAUCUAGUAAUAGUGAGAAUACUUCAAAUAACUGUAACAUCUCAAGUAACGAUAAAACAUAUCUAAUAACAGUGAGAACACUUCAAAUAACUAUAAGAUCUCAAGUAACUGUAAAACAUAUCUAGUAACGGUGAAAACAUUUAGGUUAAUAGGUAAACAUCUCAAGUAAAAUUGUUCGGUAUCAUAUCAAGUAAAGUACUUGUCCCACAUGCAAUUUCAAAGCAUCAGUAAUAUAUUUAUUUUCAAAAUCAUAUAUAUAUCAUGCAGGUUAUGAAAAUACAAAUUAUGGUAAGAUUACUACUCAUAGUACUCGCACCAAAAUAACUAGUGCGCCAGCUCGUUCAACUUCUUCAACUACCUAUAAUGUUACAAAAUCAAUCUUGCAUCAACUUCGUUAAUUGCCAACAUAAUUGGUCCAUUUCUAUCACAUUUAGUCAAUUCCCCGAUAUCCAUUCCUUUGAAAUAUGACCUUUAAUUCUCUGUUAAUUAAUUUGGUAUCACUUAAUUGGCUAGGAGUUGCAUCUAGUUUUUUUUUUUAAAAUUUAUUCUUAUUAUUUGAUUGAUACUAGUAUAUAUAGAGGACAAUAAGAAUUUCUUUUGUUUGACACAAAAACAGUACUCAUAUCCUUAUGGAGCAGUUUACAAGCACUGAUAACUUGCAUAGUAAAGUGCUACGUAAAAAUUGAUAGGUUCUUUGUUCAAUCUAACAGGAAUUUCAUAAUUGUGCUAUAUUGAAACACCUUAAGAAUCCUUUGUUAUCUUUAGCCUAAAUAACAAAAUCAAUAACUAAUAAUAGGCUAGGUAUUGAAUAAAGAAUACAUCAGAUAAAUUACCGAAGAAAGAAAAGGAUUAAAUUACCUAGCUUGUUCUCCUCCAUUCCAAAAAUCGCUUCACUAGAAAGAAGUAAACUAUCUCCUUUUGCUUUAGAUUAGUUACGUAGUGCAUUUUGGCACUAAUUCUUCUCUUAUUUUCCUUAAGGCUUGAUAUUAGCUUCUUUUUUAUUUCUUUGUUUGCAGGAGCUUUUGUCCUCAUCCCUCCUACUGUCGUUCCUUUUUCUUUGAGAUUGCAAGGAGUUAAAACAUUAACCCUUUCCAAUCUUUAUAAGAUGCUCUACAGUAGUUAUUUUUUGGGCUUCCGCCCUUUAAUACUACAACAACAACAACAACUUAGUAUAAUCCUACUUAGUGGGGUCUGGGGAGGGUAGUAUAUACGCAGACCUUACCCCUACCCUACAACAACCCAGUAUAAUCCCACUUAGUGGGGUCUGGAGAGGGUAGUGUGUACGCAGACCUUACCCCUACCCUUUGGUAGAGAGGCUGUUUCCAAAUAGACCCCCGACAUCCUUUCCCUCCAAGAACUUCCCACCUUACUCUUGGGGAGACUCGAACUCACAAUCUCUCGAUUGGAAGUGGGGAUUGCUUACCAUAAGAACAUCCCUCUUGUUUUAAGGUCACAAUAAUAUAAACUUUCGAAAAAAUUAUAUUUUUCCGCUGAAGUGAUA
rnacentral:lncRNA from 1 species